GAUGAACGCUGGCGGCGUGCCUAACACAUGCAAGUCGAGCGAAGCACUUACUUUAGCUUUCUUCGGAAUGACGAAGUUUGUGACUGAGCGGCGGACGGGUGAGUAACGCGUGGGCAACCUGCCCUGUACAGGGGAUAACAGUUAGAAAUGACUGCUAAUACCGCAUAAGCCCACAGCUUCGCAUGAAGCAGUGGGAAAAACUCCGGUGGUACAGGAUGGGCCCGCGUCUGAUUAGCUAGUUGGUAAGGUAACGGCUUACCAAGGCGACGAUCAGUAGCCGACCUGAGAGGGUGACCGGCCACAUUGGGACUGAGACACGGCCCAAACUCCUACGGGAGGCAGCAGUGGGGAAUAUUGCACAAUGGGGGAAACCCUGAUGCAGCGACGCCGCGUGAGCGAUGAAGUAUUUCGGUAUGUAAAGCUCUAUCAGCAGGGAAGAAAGUGACGGUACCUGACUAAGAAGCCCCGGCUAACUACGUG
rnacentral:rRNA from 1 species